UGGUUCCUACGGGACGCAGCAGUGGGGGAUAUUGCACAAUGGGGGAAACCCUGAUGCAGCAACGCCGCGUGAAGGAAGACGGUUUUCGGAUUGUAAACUUCUGUUCUUAGUGAAGAAGAAUGACGGUAACUAAGGAGCAAGCCACGGCUAACUACGUGCCAGCAGCCGCGGUAAUACGUAGGUGGCAAGCGUUGUUCGGAAUUACUGGGUGUAAAGGGAGCGCAGGCGGGAAGCCAAGUCAGCUGUGAAAACUACGGGCUUAACUUGUAGACUGCAGUUGAAACUGGUUUUCUUGAGUGAAGUAG
rnacentral:rRNA from 1 species